rnacentral:rRNA from 1 species
UACAGAGGUCUCAAGCGUUGUUCGGAUUCAUUGGGCGUAAAGGGUGCGUAGGUGGCGCCGUAAGUCAGGUGUGAAAUUUCGGAGCUCAACUCCGAAACUGCAUUUGAUACUGCGGUGCUUGAGGACUGGAGAGGAGACUGGAAUUCACGGUGUAGCAGUGAAAUGCGUAGAGAUCAUGAGGAAGACCAGUGGCGAAGGCGGGUUGCUGGGCUGACACUGACGCUGAGGCGCGAAAGCUAGGGGGA